CGGGGCCCUCCACCUCCUCCACCUCCUCCUGGAGGUGGCCCUCCUCCACCACCUCCUCCAAUACGUGGAGCUCCACCGCCCCCUCCUCCUCCUGGAGGUCGUGCACCUGGUCCACCUCCCCCACCUCCUCCGGGAGGACGCGCACCUGGUCCACCUCCCCCACCCCCUCCUGGAGGGCGUGCACCUGGUCCACCUCCCCCACCCCUCCGGGAGGACGCGCACCUGGUCCACCUCCUCCACCGGGAGCUCCAAGACCUCCUGGUGGUGGACCACCACCACCACCACCUUUUGGUUCUAAAGGACCUGCAGUUGGCAGAGGCCUUCCUGCUGGGAGAGGGCAAGGAUUUUCACGCGCAGCUGGUGGUGUAGCC
rnacentral:lncRNA from 1 species